CGCAAGCCUGACGGAGCAACGCCGCGUGUGGGAAGAAGGCUCUUGGGCUGUCAACCACUUUUCUCAGGGAAGAAGCCCUGACGGUACCUGAGGAAUCAGCCUCGGCUAACUCCGUGCCAGCAGCCGCGGUAAUACGGAGGAGGCAAGCGUUAUCCGGAAUUAUUGGGCGUAAAGCGUCCGCAGGGGGCACAUCAAGUCUGCUGUUAAAGGCUGGAGCUUAACUCCGGUAGAGCAGUGGAAACUGGUGUGCUAGAGGGCGACAGGGGUAGAGGGAAUUCCCAGUGUAGCGGUGAAAUGCGUAGAGAUUGGGAAGAACACCGGUGGCGAAAGCGCUCUACUGGGUCGCACCUGACCCUCAGGGACGAAAGCUAAGGUAGCG
rnacentral:rRNA from 1 species